AGCAUGCGGGUGCCAGCACACGCCGAGGAGAAGCACGCAGCAGAGGCAGGAGGUGUUUUUCUAGUGGUUGCAAUGGAAAAUGGAUUGGGUACCAUAGAACUGUUUCACAGAGAACAUCUUUCACAGGGAAUACUGACGCCCACCCACACAGAAAGCUUUUUGUUUUGAUGUUUACAUCAGACUGGACACAAGCAAGAAGGAUGUUCAACGGCCAACAGCAAGGAAUGUGGCAGCCAUUUGCUAGCACGUGAAUAUAACUGAGAACUUCUCAAAGACUGUUAAUACCUAUUUUUUAUUAUAUUAUAAUAUAAAUAAGAAUAGCUUUUCCCUGAGGGAAACAGGAAGCUUUGUUUUGAAAUCCAAGUGUCUGAAAUUUGCUCUAAUUUGUACCUUAUCAUCAACACUAGCCUACUGAAUAAGUACUUUUAAGUAUCACAUCUCUUUAUAUCACAAAAGUAAUAUGGUGCUGAGUUUUGUUUUGGUGACUUCCAUGAAUUAAACCCUGGGGGAGAAAAAAAUACCCUGCCAUUUUAUAAUAGGUAUCUGCUUUCUCAACACAAAUUGAUCUAGAAAAAUAUGAAGGUUAAAGUAAACAUGCUUCAAGGGAAAAGUGUUUAUGGGAAAAGAGGAUGAAGGCUUGGACAUCCACUUGAUAGUUUAUCAGUCAUUAUGUCGACCAAAUGAGCUUCUACGGGAUUUAAAACUUGUCUUCAUGGUCAGGCUUUUGCACUUUAUGUCAGUUAGCAGGUAAUUAACGGAUUACUUAAAAUGCAUUUUCCGCAGUCAGGGUGUACACAUCCAACAAGUGUAUUUCAAGCUUUGACCAAGAAUAAAUAUUUGUAGUUUGAGGAAUUGGAGGAGUGUUCAUAUCAGUUUAUAUAAACAUGUAAAGUGACUUUAGAUAAUCCAGAAUUAUUUAUCUUAACGUAAAAAGUCAUAUGCUGAUAUAAACAUCCUCGAUGCAAAAUUUCUUGUUACUAAUUUUGCAAAGGUUAUAAACAAGGUUAUAAACAAUACGGGAGGACAGUUAAAUCAGAAGAAUAUUGGUUAGUAACCCAUAUUAGCUGUCCCAGAGUGAAGAUCAAGAGACUUCACUGUAAGAAAUUGCAAGGUAAUUUGUACAUAAAAUUUUUAUGAUAAUCAUUAUGUAACAGAUGCUUUUGUAUACU
rnacentral:lncRNA from 7 species